CACGUAUACAAUUAACAGCAACGACACUAACAGUUCUGUCAGGUGACAAGCACAAAAAAGAAUACAACUACCCACAAUCCACAAUAAACACACCCCUAAUUAUAGGACCUUCAAUCAGAGGCAACGAUAGACAGCUGCCUCCAACUGAAGGCCCCAACACCAAUUAACUAAACCUAGAAAUACAAAUGACUAGACAGAACAUAGAAAUAAACUAACAUUGAACAAUAACCAAAACCCUGGACUAAUAAAUCAAAUACCCCUCUCUACAUGGACACAUACACACAACCACCCUGAACCACAUAAAACAAAUACCCCCUGCCACGUCCUGACCAAACACUAACAAAUAACACCUUUUACAGGUCAGAACGUGACAAUGUCAGUCCAUGCUGCAAGAGCUCUGAUAGGUUGGAGGACAUCCUCCUGAAGUUGUCAUAAUUACUGUGUAAGUCUAUGGAAGGUUGUAAGAACCAUGAGCCUCCUAGGUUUUGCAUUGAAGUCAAUGUACCCACAAGAGGACUGAAGCUAUAUGUCCUCCUGCUACACCUUGGUGCUACCCUACAGAGUGCUGCUGAGGCUACUGUAGACCUUCAUUGCAAACAGUUUUAAUCAAUUAUUUGGUGACGUGAAUAUAUUUAGUAUAGCUGUAUCUUAAAAAUAUAACUUUUUUCAUGUUUCACAAUUUUUAUUUUUAUGUUCACUAUUUUUAUUUUAAUGAAAUUCACUGAGGAUGGUCCUCCCCUUCCUUCUCUGAGGAGCCUCCACUGGUAAAUGUAUGCUAAUAGUAUGACUCAUGCAACAAAUAUGCACUAAUGAACGCAGAUACUCUGAUUGCUCAGAGCAGAAACCAGCAGGAGUGUAGCUAUACAAGUGCAAUAAUGCAGAACAGUCUGCAAGUUAAGUUGAAUGCAUUCUAUCUUAAACUACAGUAUGUGAAGGAAUAGGGUUCCAAUACUAAUAACCAUAGUAAUAAUAACGAUUUUUACAACAUUUAAGGUGUGACUGCAGGCGCAAGUCACUACUAAUGUGACUGGGAUGAGCUGUAAAAUAUAGCCCAUCACUGAUAGUACACAUAAUUCCAGCGUUCUCAUGAGCUGCACGAAGUGCAGUGAAAUCUACUAUCAAUAUUGAUGCUGCACUAAACAAUAAACACUAUCACAUCACCAUGAUAACACCAUCUCCUGCUCAUGAUUCCAAAACAUUCCUACUCACUCCUGUAUAUCGACACAUUGCCUGUAUGCUAGCCUAGCACAGUCUACUUCCUUCUUGUAUGACGGGGUAUUCCUCAUGAUGGGGUGUGUGUUUACGGAGCUCGUCGAAUCUGCCCGAAAACUAGUAUUGGGAACAAAUGACUAGCUAUUAAAUACCUACUCCCGAGGCUAAUUCUACUUAGCUAGCUAGUUUGUAGCCGCUAUUGACUGACAACAGUAAAGCAGCAACAUGGCUGAUCCUCGCAAUCAGUGACAUCCUCGCAGCAGCCAAACAUUGCAACAUGAGCAUAUUGAACGACGCGGACGAGGUGAGGUUCAACACAGCUAGCGAGCAUUCGCAAAAAAAUAUUAUAAUCAGAUCACAGCGAGAAACAUCUAGUUACACAGCAGCGUUGAUGCAGAGCAAGCGCAUAGUAGCAGUAGCAGCAAACGGCAGCAGGAUGAGAGAGCAGAUCCAUAAAGCUUAAAUACCCACCCAAUAAGGAAUGCCUGUUGUGAAGAUCUGGAGUCAGAGCAGG
rnacentral:lncRNA from 1 species